rnacentral:tRNA from 1 species
GUCCCCAUCGUCUAGAGGCCUAGGACAAGAGCCUUUCGAGCUCUCGACCGGGGUUCGAAUCCCCGUGGGGACGCCA